GAGGCGAACCGGGGGAACUGAAACAUCUAAGUACCCCGAGGAAAAGAAAUCAACCGAGAUUCCGAAAGUAGCGGCGAGCGAAAUUGGACUAGCCCUUAAGCUUUACACGCGUUAGACGAACGGUCUGGAAAGUCCGACGAUACAGGGUGAUAGUCCCGUAGUUGACGACGUGUGUUCAGUGAAAUCGAGUAGGGCGGGACACGUGAUAUCCUGUCUGAAUAUGGGGGGACCAUCCUCCAAGGCUAAAUACUACUGACUGACCGAUAGUGAACCAGUACCGUGAGGGAAAGGCGAAAAGAACCCCUGUGAGGGGAGUGAAAUAGAACCUGAAACCGUGUACGUACAAGCAGUAGGAGCAGAUCCCUGAAGUGUCAGUAUGCAAGGGGUGCGCCGUUUGACUAUCAGGCGCGGACUGUUACCUUGGCCAACGAGCUUUUCUAAUGCUGGAAACCGAGUCUUAACUGGGCGUUCAGUCUCUGGAUAUAGACCCGAAACCAGGUGAUCUAGCCAUGGGCAGGUUGAAGGUUGAGUAACAUCAACUGGAGGACCGAACCGACUAAUGUUGAAAAAUUAGCGGAUGACUUGUGGCUAGGGGUGAAAGGCCAAUCAAACCUGGAGAUAGCUGGUUCUCCCCGAAAGCUAUUUAGGUAGCGCCUCGGACGAAUACUACUGGGGGUAGAGCACUGUUAAGGCUAGGGGGUCAUCCCGACUUACCAACCCUUUGCAAACUCCGAAUACCAGUAAGUACUAUCCGGGAGACACACGGCGGGUGCUAACGUCCGUCGUGGAGAGGGAAACAACCCAGACCGCCAGCUAAGGUCCCAAAUUACUACUAAGUGGGAAACGAUGUGGGAAGGCUCAGACAGCCAGGAUGUUGGCUUAGAAGCAGCCAUCAUUUAAAGAAAGCGUAAUAGCUCACUGGUCGAGUCGGCCUGCGCGGAAGAUGUAACGGGGCUAAGUAGUAAACCGAAGCUGCGGCAAUAUACUUUUGUAUAUUGGGUAGGGGAGCGUUCUGUAAGCGGUUGAAGGUGUGUGGUAACGCAUGCUGGACGUAUCAGAAGUGCGAAUGCUGACAUGAGUAACGAUAAAGGGGGUGAAAAACCUCCUCGCCGGAAGACCAAGGGUUCCUGUCCAACGUUAAUCGGGGCAGGGUAAGUCGACCCCUAAGGCGAGGCCGAAAGGCGUAGUCGAUGGGAAACGGGUUAAUAUUCCCGUACUUCUUACAAUUGCGAUGGGGGGACGGAGAAGGCUAGGUGGGCCUGGCGACGGUUGUCCAGGUUCAAGUGCGUAGGCUUAAGAGUUAGGUAAAUCCGGCUCUUUCUAAGGCUGAGACACGACGUCGAGCACCUACGGGUGUGAAGUCAUUGAUGCCAUGCUUCCAGGAAAAGCCUCUAAGCUUCAGAUUGUAAGGAAUCGUACCCCAAACCGACACAGGUGGUCGGGUAGAGAAUACCAAGGCGCUUGAGAGAACUCGGGUGAAGGAACUAGGCAAAAUGGUACCGUAACUUCGGGAGAAGGUACGCUCUCGACGGUGAAGUCCCUUGCGGAUGGAGCUAUUGAGAGUCGCAGAUACCAGGUGGCUGCAACUGUUUAUUAAAAACACAGCACUGUGCAAAAUCGUAAGAUGACGUAUACGGUGUGACGCCUGCCCGGUGCCGGAAGGUUAAUUGAUGGGGUUAGACUUCGGUCGAAGCUCUUGAUCGAAGCCCCGGUAAACGGCGGCCGUAACUAUAACGGUCCUAAGGUAGCGAAAUUCCUUGUCGGGUAAGUUCCGACCUGCACGAAUGGCGUAAUGAUGGCCACGCUGUCUCCACCCGAGACUCAGUGAAAUUGAAAUCGCUGUGAAGAUGCAGUGUACCCGCGGCUAGACGGAAAGACCCCGUGAACCUUUACUACAGCUUGGCACUGAACAUUGACCCUACAUGUGUAGGAUAGGUGGGAGGCUUUGAAGCACGUACGCCAGUAUGUGUGGAGCCGUCCUUGAAAUACCACCCUUGUAGUGUUGAUGUUCUAACGUCGACCCCUUAUCGGGGUUGCGGACAGUGCCUGGUGGGUAGUUUGACUGGGGCGGUCUCCUCCCAAAGAGUAACGGAGGAGCACGAAGGUGGGCUAAUCACGGUUGGACAUCGUGAGGUUAGUGCAAUGGCAUAAGCCCGCUUGACUGCGAGAAUGACAAUUCGAGCAGGUGCGAAAGCAGGUCAUAGUGAUCCGGUGGUUCUGAAUGGAAGGGCCAUCGCUCAACGGAUAAAAGGUACUCCGGGGAUAACAGGCUGAUACCGCCCAAGAGUUCAUAUCGACGGCGGUGUUUGGCACCUCGAUGUCGGCUCAUCACAUCCUGGGGCUGAAGUCGGUCCCAAGGGUAUGGCUGUUCGCCAUUUAAAGUGGUACGCGAGCUGGGUUUAGAACGUCGUGAGACAGUUCGGUCCCUAUCUGCCGUGGGCGUUGGAAGAUUGAAGGGGGCUGCUCCUAGUACGAGAGGACCGGAGUGGACGAACCUCUGGUGUUCGGGUUGUGUCGCCAGACGCAUUGCCCGGUAGCUAAGUUCGGAAUCGAUAACCGCUGAAAGCAUCUAAGCG
rnacentral:rRNA from 1 species